GAUGAACGCUGGCGGCGUGCUUAACACAUGCAAGUCGAACGGAAAGGCUCCUGCUUGCAGGGGUACUCGAGUGGCGAACGGGUGAGUAACACGUGGGUGAUCUGCCCUGCACUUCGGGAUAAGCCUGGGAAACUGGGUCUAAUACCGGAUAGGACCACAUUUUGGAUGGUGUGGUGGAAAGUUUUUCGGUGUGGGAUGAGCUCGCGGCCUAUCAGCUUGUUGGUGGGGUAAUGGCCUACCAAGGCGUCGACGGGUAGCCGGCCUGAGAGGGUGUACGGCCACAUUGGGACUGAGAUACGGCCCAGACUCCUACGGGAGGCAGCAGUGGGGAAUAUUGCACAAUGGGCGCAAGCCUGAUGCAGCGACGCCGCGUGGGGGAUGACGGCCUUCGGGUUGUAAACUCCCUUCGCUAGGGACGAAGCGUUUUUGUGACGGUACCUGGAGAAGAAGCACCGGCUAACUACGUG
rnacentral:rRNA from 1 species